GCCCUGUAUGCUUGAGGUCUUCCAAAGCCUAGCAACUCUUUCAUGUGGACAUUUGUACCCAAAGCAUUCCCAGCCAUGUGAGCCUCUUCUCAGCACAGGAAAGUACAGAGACCCCACUGGAUUGGGAUACCACAUGGGAGAGAUUUCCAGGAGGUCUCCAGGUGAACCUUAAUUCCUACAGUUUUUUUGUUGACUCUCAGAAAGCCUCCAUGUCCUGAAAAAUAGGGAUGGCAUCAGCAUCUCCUGUCCUCAAGCAGCAGUGAGCAGGCUUGCCAUCCUCCGAAGUGAUUACAAAUAAUUAAAAGCAUGCUGCAAGGUCUGUACUUUCUCACUGUUAUGUUAGCUCAAAGUGGUUUUGAAGCCAGCAGAUGCAAUGAAAUCCCAGUGAUGGUUUCAUUGACAGAACAAUAGCCUACGCGUGCUAUUCUAGAACAAGAAGCAUCAAGCAGCUUUUACAGAAUAUAUGAAUUUAACACUACAGAUAACUUGCAGCAAUGGCUCUACACUAGGGCUUGUGCCUGUGUAAGAAUAGCAAUGUAACUCUAGAAUCUUACCCUGUGCUUAUAACAGACAGAAUCCCUAAUGUUAACUCUGUGCCUGCUGACAGCUAAGAUGCCAACAAAGUCAUCUUUGAAGCCUUCAGAGAAGGGGCAGGUUAAUGCCACGUUCUCCUGAACUCAAUCUUAAUUUUUUUUCUGACCUCACUCCUGCCGUAUUCCCCAAACCUGCAGAAGGAUCAGUACCACAAAGUUCCUGAGGUGUGAGGAUAAGAAUUCAGUGUUCAAAGCUCUGUGGGCAACUCACUGCCUGAAAAGCUUCUGCCCAUGGGAAGGGAAGCUGAAGCAGAGGCUGUGAGGAUUUCUUGCACUGACAUUGGGCAGACGUAAGAGUAAGGAAAGGAGGACAGAAAUGAAAUGUGGAUGCUACUGGCAAAUCACACAGAUGCAAAGGAGCACAUGAUUGGAAGAGAAACAGCUGCAUGUUGGUAUUGCUGAGGUGUGUGUUGUGAGAAUGACCUGCUUCAGUGUGAAGGCUAAAGCAAAAUUUAAUGGUGAAAGGACACCAAAGAAAUGGGAUUGAAAGAGUAUUGGAAGAGUUUUCUUCAGUAGCUUUUCCACGUGAUAAUUAUUAAUCGGAGAAAUUAAAUAGGGCAACCAAAGGUAACAGAAAUGAUAGCAAAUUUCCCUUUCCAAAGCAAAACAGAGUAUUGAGGAAAAAUAGAGAAAAUGCCAAUGGUCCUCAAAGAUUGGAAAGGGAAAAGGCAUGUUUGCAAGGAUAUGGUUUGAAAAACUCAUCACAAAUAAGUACUGAAUUUGUUUGGGGAAGAGCUCUUCAUAGAUUUCUAUCACUGUGUGCUGUGCUGUUGUAACUGACAAUUUCUGGGGUUAGAAAAGAAGGGUGACAAUAGGUUACGUAUGAUGAAAAGGUUCCCAAAAGCUAUGGGAAGUAAAGUUUAUCUUUCAAAUAUUCAGAGACAUUUGAAGGUGUUUCCUUUACUAGCAGUUGUAAUUUGGUAAGCGCAGGGUAAUGAGAUCAGAUGGGGGUAUUUUGUUUCUGUGUGUCUGUGCUGCCUCCCCACCCUGACAAAAAGCAUUACAAAGGAAGAAGCGAUAUUACAGCCUUGUGGUAAGAAAUCACAUGUUGAGUUCAGAUGCCAACAGCGUUCGUUCAAAUAGGGGCUGAUCAACAGAAAGAACACGGCCA